rnacentral:rRNA from 1 species
CACGCAGGGCGCAAGCGUUGUCCGGAAUUAUUGGGCGUAAAGAGCUCGUAGGCGGUCUGUUGCGUCCGCUGUGAAAACUUGGGGCUUAACCCCGAGCCUGCAGUGGAUACGGGCAGACUAGAGGUAGGUAGGGGAGAAUGGAAUUCCCGGUGUAGCGGUGAAAUGCGCAGAUAUCGGGAGGAACACCGGUGGCGAAGGCGGUUCUCUGGGCCUUACCUGACGCUGAGGAGCGAAAGCGUGGGGAGCGAACAGG